CUGGGCAAGAGCGCGAGGUGGCAGGCCAUAGUGCACCUGGGCAAGAGCGCGAGGUGGCUGGCCAUAGUGCACCUGGGCAAGAGCGCGAGGUGGCAUGCCACAAUGCACUUGAGCCGGAGCGUGAGGCGAUAGGCUCAAGUGGACCUAUGCUAGAGCAGGACCACAAUGCAUUUGAGCAAGCGCGCGAGGCGGCAGACCACAAUGCACCUAGUCAGGAGGACGAGCUGGCACGCCAAGGUUCACCAAUGCGUGAUGAUGACUAUGGGGAGGACUACGAUGGAGAGGCCGAUGGAGAGGCCGAUGACGAGGUUGUUACAAUGACACAGGCAAC
rnacentral:misc_RNA from 1 species